rnacentral:rRNA from 1 species
UACGAGAGGUCUCGAGCGUUGUUCGGAUUCAUUGGGCGUAAAGGGUGCGUAGGUGGCGUGGUAAGUCUGGUGUGAAAUCCCUCGGCGUCAACCAAGGAAAGUGCAUCCGAAACUGCUGAGCUUGAGUACUUGAAGAGGAUCGCGGAAUUCCCGGUGUAGAGGUGAAAUUCGUAGAUAUCGGGAGGAACACCAGUGGCGAAGGCGGCGAUCUGGGAAGAGUACUGACGCUGAGGUGCGAAAGCGAUGGGGAGCAAACAGGGAUUAAGAAACCCCGUGUAACGUCCAG